CAAAGGCAGACGGCUCAGUAACGCGUAGUCAAUCUACCCUAUGGACGGGAAUAACCUCGGGAAACUGAGAAUAAUGCCCGACAGAACAUUAUACCUGGAACGGUUUAUGUUUCAAAUGAUUUAUCGCCGUAGGAUGGGACUGCGGCCUAUCAGUUUGUUGGUGAGGUAAUGGCCCACCAAGACUAUUACAGGUACGGGCUCUGAGAGGAGAAGCCCGGAGAUGGGCACUGAGACAAGGGCCCAGGCCCUAUGGGGCGCAGCAGGCGCGAAACCUCUGCAAUAGGCGAAAGCCUGACAGGGUUACUCUGAGUGGUUCCCGCUAAGGGGAUCUUUUGGCACCUCUAAAAAUGGUGCAGAAUAAGGGGUGGGCAAGCCUGGUGUCAGCCGCCGCGGUAAUACCAGCACCCCGAGUGGUCGGGACGUUUAUUGGGCCUAAAGCAUCCGUAGCCGGUUCUACAAGUCUUCCGUUAAAUCCAACUGCUUAACAGGUGGGCUGCGGAAGAUACUAUAGAGCUAGGAGGCGGGAGAGGCAAGCGGUACUCGAUGGGUAGGGGUAAAAUCCGUUGAUCCAUUGAAGACCACCAGUGGCGAAGGCGGCUUGCCAGAACGCGCUCGACGGUGAGGGAUGAAAGCUGGGGGAGCAAACCGGAUUAGAUACCCGGGUAGUCCCAGCUGUAAACGAUGCAGACUCGGUGAUGGGCUAGCCUCGUGUCAGCCCAGUGCCGCAGGGAAGCCGUUAAGUCUGCCGCCUGGGGGAGUACGGUCGCAAGACUGAAACUUAAAGGAAUUGGCGGGGGAGCACCGCAAGGGGUGAAGCCUGCGGUUCAAUUGGAGUCAACGCCGGG
rnacentral:rRNA from 1 species